rnacentral:misc_RNA from 1 species
UCUCCGUUGGUGAACCAGCGGAGGGAUCAUUACCGAGUUUACAACUCCCAAACCCAUUGUGACCUAUACCUGUCUACCGUUGCUUCGGCGGGUUCCCCCGCCGAGGGACCGACAAAUAAACUCCUGUAUUUCUAUCUUUAGCAUGUCUGAGUGGAAUCAUAAACAAAUGAAUCAAAACUUUCAACAACGGAUCUCUUGGUUCUG